UCUUAUCAAGAGAGAUUGAGGGACUGGCCCUAUGACGUCCGGCAACCUAAAUUUAUUUAACGGUGCUAAUUCCAGCAGAUUAUAUGUCUGAAAGAUGAGA
rnacentral:ncRNA from 1 species